GGGGGUAUAGCUCAGUUGGCAGAGCACUGGCCUUUUAAGCCAAUGGUCGCAGGUUCGAAUCCUGCUGCCCCCACCA
rnacentral:tRNA from 1 species